UCUCUCUCUCUCUCUCUCUCUCUCUCUUUCUCUCUUUAUAAUGAGAGAGAAAGAGAGAGAGAGAGAGAGAGAGAGAGAGA
rnacentral:miRNA from 1 species